UACGUAGGGGGCAAGCGUUAUCCGGAUUUACUGGGUGUAAAGGGAGCGUAGACGGAAUAGCAAGUCUGAUGUGAAAACCCGGGGCUCAACUCCGGGAGUGCAUUGGAAACUGUUGAUCUAGAGUGUCGGAGAGGCAAGCGGAAUUCCUAGUGUAGCGGUGAAAUGCGUAGAUAUUAGGAAGAACACCAGUGGCGAAGGCGAUUCUCUGGACUGUAACUGACGCUGAGGCUCGAAAGCGUGGGGAGCAAACAGG
rnacentral:rRNA from 1 species